rnacentral:lncRNA from 1 species
AAGAUAACAAUAAAAACACCGAAAGCCAAGGUGACCAUGUCAAUCUAGAACCAUGGGUUGCACGGGACAGAGAAGACUGAGAGAGAGGAUGCAUCUGAGAGGGCUGGGACGUGUGCAGAAGCACAAGUUUGGAUGGGAAGUCUCCAGCAGGCAGUCCUACUCCCCCAAGACAGCAUCUUUUGCCAGUUGCUGUUUAUGGAUUUUCUCCACACUCCAAAUCACAUACUUAUACCUCCGUUCCUCAGUUACCAUCUUUAGACAACAGCUAUUCACUCCCCAAUACCUAAGAUGAGCAUUUAGCUCACUACUCCCAAUGUCUGAACUUUCAUGACUAUUUUUGACUCCUGCAUGAGCAUUUCCUCUUCUGACAGCAGUCGCUGAUUCCCAGCUCUGUAAGAUGAGGACAUCAGUGCCCCUCCCUUUCUUUCUGCUUUUCUCUUCCCUUCUUCAAUCACUCGUGUUUUGUGCCUCUGCUUCUACCACUUCAUAGCACUGUGGUGUUUAAUCUCGGGUGCCUGGGCUUCCUGGGAGAGCA